rnacentral:rRNA from 1 species
CCCUUAGAUGUUCUGGGCUGCACGCGCGCUACACUGAUACCUUCAGCGAGUCCACCACCUUGCCUGGGAGGGUGGGGUAACCUCUGGAAAGUGCAUCGUGAUGGGGAUCGAUUAUUGUAAUUAUUAAUCUUCAACGAGGAAUUCCUAGUAAGCAUGUGUCAUCAGCCCGUGCUGAUUACGUCCCUGCCCUUUGUACACACCGCCCGUCGCUGCCCGGGACUGAGCCGUUUCGAGAAAAGCGGGGACUGCUGCUGUCGGGGCUUUCGGGCCUUGGCUUCGGUGGAAACCGCUUUAAUCGCAGUGGCUUGAACCGGGCAAAAGUCGUAACA